rnacentral:rRNA from 1 species
UACGAACGCUGGCGGCGUGCUUAACACAUGCAAGUCGAACGGAAAGGCCCCUUCGGGGGUACUCGAGUGGCGCACGGGUGAGUAACACGUGAGUAACCUGCCCUUGACUUCGGGAUAACUUCAGGAAACUGGGGCUAAUACCGGAUAGGAAUCCUUGCUGCAUGGUGGGGGUUGGAAAGCUUCGGCGGUUUUGGAUGGACUCGCGGCUUAUCAGCUUGUUGGUGGGGUAGUGGCUUACCAAGGCUUUGACGGGUAGCCGGCCUGAGAGGGCGACCGGCCACAUUGGGACUGAGAUACGGCCCAGACUCCUACGGGAGGCAGCAGUGGGGAAUAUUGCACAAUGGGCGGAAGCCUGAUGCAGCAACGCCGCGUGCGGGAUGACGGCCUUCGGGUUGUAAACCGCUUUCAGCAGGGGCGAAGCUUGUGGUGACGGUACCUGCAGAAGAAGCACCGGCUAACUACGUG